UUUUAAGAAGCAGAGUUGCAAUCGAACAACACAUAAAGGCGUUUAUCGCUUAAGAUUGUUUGGGGAAAGUCCCCGGGCCGAGGGUAGAAAGUACCACUCUUGAAUGAGAACCCCUGGAUUCCUAAUGGAAGUGGAGUCCUGGUCUUUGCCAUAGCACAGUUAUGCAACUAUGGAAACUCAACGGGGCUUAUUGCUUUUUAAG
rnacentral:RNase_MRP_RNA from 1 species